AACGCACGCUGGCGGCAUGCCUAAUACAUGCAAGUCGGACGAGAUCUUCGGAUCUAGUGGCGCACGGGUGCGUAACGCGUGGGAAUCUGCCCUUUGGUUCGGAAUAACUUCUGGAAACGGAAGCUAAUACCGGAUGAUGACGUAAGUCCAAAGAUUUAUCGCCAGAGGAUGAGCCCGCGUAGGAUUAGCUAGUUGGUGAGGUAAAGGCUCACCAAGGCUACGAUCCUUAGCUGGUCUGAGAGGAUGAUCAGCCACACUGGGACUGAGACACGGCCCAGACUCCUACGGGAGGCAGCAGUAGGGAAUAUUGGACAAUGGGCGCAAGCCUGAUCCAGCAAUGCCGCGUGAGCGAUGAAGGCCUUAGGGUUGUAAAGCUCUUUUACCCGGGAUGAUAAUGACAGUACCGGGAGAAUAAGCCCCGGCUAACUCCGUGCCAGCAGCCGCAGUAA
rnacentral:rRNA from 1 species